rnacentral:rRNA from 1 species
CCAUGUGACGUUACCAAACUGUUGCCUCGGCGGGAUCUCUGCCCCGGGUGCGUCGCAGCCCCGGACCAAGGCGCCCGCCGGAGGACCAACCAAAACUCUUUUUGUAUACCCCCUCGCGGGUUUUUUAUAAUCUGAGCCUUCUCGGCGCCUCUCGUAGGCGUUUCGAAAAUGAAUCAAAACUUUCAACAACGGAUCUCUUGGUUCUGGCAUCGAUGAAGAACGCAGCGAAAUGCGAUAAGUAAUGUGAAUUGCAGAAUUCAGUGAAUCAUCGAAUCUUUGAACGCACAUUGCGCCCGCCAGUAUUCUGGCGGGCAUGCCUGUCCGAGCGUCAUUUCAACCCUCGAACCCCUCCGGGGGGUCGGCGUUGGGGAUCGGCCCUCCCUUAGCGGGUGGCCGUCUCCGAAAUACAGUGGCGGUCUCGCCGCAGCCUCUCCUGCGCAGUAGUUUGCACACUCGCAUCGGGAGCGCGGCGCGUCCACAGCCGUUAAACACCCAACUUCUGAAAUGUUGACCUCGGAUCAGGUAGGAAUACCCGCUGAACUUAAGCAUAUCAAUAAGCGGAGGAAU